UGGAAGUUCACUGAAGUGUUGCUGCUUGUGUGGUUACAGGUGCAGAGUUGUGUUUCCCAGGCUGCCCCUGAACACAUCCUAAAGCCUUCAACCUGCAGCAGAUAGAAGAAAGCGUGCUGCUGUCCCUGUAUAAGAAGAUGCUGCUGCUGCUGCUCCACAGACACAAACAGAUUUGGAUGGAGGACUUUAUGGUGCCAGAGCUUUUUGUUAGACAUGUGAAACUCUGACAUUUCCUAAAAACUGGACUCACAGAUGAAGCAGUGACUUAUGUCCAGAGAUGCAAACAGUAGCUGAAGCAGUUUGUUCCUCGGGGUGGUGUCUUUGUCUGGACUCACGCGCACUGGCUUCAUGCACCUGGCGGCAAUCAUCACACCUGUUGAAACCCUGGAAAGAAACUUGGAAAGAUUGUUUGGAGAUAUUCCUGUGGCGAGAAACGUACAGUAGCUCUUUGCCUGACCUUGGACCUCUCUUCAAGAAGCCUCUUACCUGUGUU